UAUAUAUAUAGAGAUACGAACCCUGGCCGCCCGCGUGGCAGGCGAGCAUUCUACCACUGAACCACC